GUCUUCCAUCCACUGGUUCACUCCCCAGAUGACCGCAACAGCUGGAGCUGCGCCAAUCCGAAGCCAGGAGCCAGGAGCUUCUGCCAGGUCUCCCACGUGGGUGCAGGGGCCCAAGGACUUGGACCAUCCUCCACUGCCUUCCUAAGCCACAGCAGAGAGCUGGAUCAGAAGUGGAGCAGCUGGGUCUUGAACCGGCACCCAUAUGGGAUGCAAGCACUGCAUGUGGCGGCUUUACCGGCUACGCCACAGCUCCGGCCCCUCAAACACUUUUCAAUUCCAGCUAUAUCAAAACGUAAGGAAUGCUUGCCUUCACAAUCGCGGCGGCAAGAUGGCUCUUAUAGUUUGUUUCCUUCGCAAGACGUAAGUGCCUCUGUUCUGCCAUUGGUUCUGCAUCUCUGUGUUCCCAGAGUCCACCACGGUGCUUGAUGUGGCGUAUGUGCUUAACAAAUUCUGGGCCGUAUCUAUUGAAUGCAGAUUGCUUCUGUACCAUCAGAGAGUAGAAAAACUGUCAGCUGGACCAUGGAAAGUGAGGGGCCAUCUGCGUAUGAUUCUCAGUCAAUCCUGAGCUGCUGUGUAAGGAGACUCCCCUGAGGCCACCACGAGGGAAAAACACGACCGUGGACAGUCCCAGCAGAGCCGCCACCUGUGGAAAUAACUCACAAAGAAGAGAGGGAACUAGCAACAAACAUACUACAGGACAUCUGCGAAAUGGCGGCUGUAGAUUGUCUGCAGAUCCAGACAGGCAGAGAGAUACAGGCAGAAACAGAGUCCUUCUGUCAACUGGUUCAUUCUCUAAAUGCCCGCAAUAGCCAAGGUUGGGCCAGGCUGAAGCCGGGAACCAGAAAUUCAACCUGGGCCUCCCCCGUGAAUGUCAGGGACCCAAGUACUCUCGUCAUCACCUUCUACCUUCCAGAGUGUACAAGAGCAGGAAGCUGGAUCAGAAGCAGAGCCAGGAGUUGAACCAGGCAUUCCAAUGUAGGCAUCCCAAGCAGUGUCUCAACCACUGUGCCAAACCCCUGCCCCUUAAUUAUUUCUUAUCAACAUUUAAUAACUACACGUAAUUCUGGGGCACAGUGUGAUAUUUCAAUAAAUAUGUACAAUGUGUACUGAUCAAAUCAAGAUUGUUAACGUUUCCAUCUUAUCAAUACAGGGCAUUUCAUGUUCCUCUCUCCUACUCAUAAAAUAUAUUUAUAAUAAGCUAUUGUGAAAUAUUGUCAGAUCACUGAGCUGUAGAACAGAAACACUGUUUUGAUGGUGGGAA